AGCCUUGUGGUGUUUGUCACAUCAGAUUGCAAAUCUGAAGGAGUAGGCUAAGGGCCUACCGGGGCUU
rnacentral:tRNA from 1 species